ACACUGUUCAUCAGAGGCAUGGGGAAAGAGCUUUAUCAAAUCAUCAUCAUGUUAAUGUAGUCGCUAAGGACCACAGAUACUGACAGAAAUUACAUUCCCUCCCCAGCGCUCGCCAUUGCUCUCAUGAUCAUUAACACAUGCUGAUGAGACUCACACUAAACCCUCAUCCCUCUCUCCAUCCCUCCGUGUCUCUCUGCUGUGGUUCUCUCAUUAGGGCUGGGCGUUAUGACCAGAGGCUUGUGUCACGCUAGAACCGAUAAACUGAUUCACAGCACAUUUCAACGCAACUUCUUACAUCUGAAGUUUUAGUAAGGACUUGAGAACAGCUAGUGAAACCCAACUCUGAAUCAUCUGAAGCACCAGCGGAGAUCUGCACCUCAGCGUCUGAUCUCACUGAUGCUCUUCAGUCUGAACGGGAUCAAGAUCUGCUGGAAGAUCUUCCCAGAAGAGUGAAGCUGUUCUAACGGAAUGAAAGAGUGAACAUGCGUGAGGUCAGACGCUGACUGACGCUGAUCCAGUUCUCUAGAUUAGACCCUCGCUGGGUGCUUGCAUUAAGUCAUCAUAGAAAUCCUUCAGCAGGAGCUCAUUUAGUUUUAGGUGGGUUCUUGUGCUUUCAGAAAGAUGAGGUUCCCUUUCUAGGGCACUUCGAACUGUGUCCUCUAGGGGUCGCUAUGUGGAACUCCUCGUCAUGACCCAUGUCUGAAGCAUACAUUGAAAAAACAUCAACUUGUUGGCCGGCUACAGCAUCUGACAUCACUACCGGCGCGACUAUAAACAGACACCGGGAGAACAUGUCGUUCUCUUCUUCGUCUUCACUGACUGUUCUGUUUGAAACGUGCAUCUGAAAGAACUUGUAAGCGCUAUCUUUCUCUGUCUAUCAUGGUGACUACUAGCAAGAGUUUAGACAAUGUGUGCAUCCAUGUCGCCAUUCUUUGUCACCCAAUGAUACACACAAUCUUUGUCAUUUGUUUGGGUGAAGAGCACACCAUAAAGAGCACUAAUCUCCAUACAGAAAUCAAAAAGAAAUAAAAUAAACAGUUUCUUCUCGCAUCCAUCGGUUUCGGCAUAAGAGUUGUGCCGACAUCAAGGCGAUGCGCAAAAACGGCUAUGAGAGGAUGGCCCCUAUAGAAAGAGCUGUCUUUCUGUGGGGAGACAUCCUCUCUUAAGCUCCCUCUUUGCCAUCUAAGCCCCUUCAGAAAUUCAUCUGGCUUAAAUGGCAAGGCAUACACAGCAGCAGAUCAAGCUGUGGCUUUAUUACACAUGAUGGUGGUAAUUC